rnacentral:lncRNA from 1 species
AGCAGCCUCUUGGUCACUCACAGGACAGAAGACACAUUGCCUAUGGCAACACCACAAGGCCUAUAUUACCGGAAUAGAAACCUCCUCCUUCCUGCAGUGUCCCUUCAAAGCCCAGAGGAUGAUGGUAACCAACUGAGCACAUAGUGUUCCAGCAGACGCCAGACGGCAAAUUGUUGGACCAGAUAACCCUGAGAUCUCAGCUCACGAUUAAUUACUCUCAGAUGCAAACAACUGCUUCUUGGGCCUGCGGAAAGGACACGCGGACAAGAAGCCCUGUCUUCUUACUCAAAGAAGAAAUACCAUCAAGGUGCUAGGAGACACAGAAGAAGACAUGCCUGGGAAGCUGGGUCACACUGCACCCCCAUUUCUAGGAAAACAGACGUCCCUUACCAUUCUUGCGGGUUAGCUCAGCACGCCUUUCCAGCAUGCGAGAUCCCUGCAGAUGUUUCAAAGGAUUCUCCAUGUACCCUAUAACAUUUCCGGAAACAUUUAUAAGCUCUUUCCCCUGCAACAAGGCAUUAAACCUGAGGGGACUAAAAGUCACGGGAUCUGUCCAAGUGUAGGAAAAGUGUUCGGAAAGCUUUAGACAUUUGUUCCGUACUGAAAAAUGGAACAGCAAAUUAGAAGGUGAUAUGCAACUGUCCCCUCGGGCUUCCCUCCUGGCAACAGUGCAG